AACGAACGCUGGCGGCGUGCUUAACACAUGCAAGUCUAACGGGAAUGUCGGCUUCGGCUGACUAGUACCGUGGCGAACGGGUGAGUAACACGUGGGUAAUCUGCCCUCGAGCUCGGGAUAACCUUGCGAAAGCGAGGCUAAUACCGGAUAAGACCACGCCCUGCCUGCAGGGUGCGGUAAAAGGUGGCCUCUUCUUGAAAGCUAUCACUUGAGGAUGAGCCAGGGGCCUAUUAGCUAGUUGGUGAGGUAAUGGCUCACCAAGGCGACGAUGGGUAGCCGGCCUGAGGGGGUGUACGGCCGCACUGGCAGUGAGACACGGGCCAGACUCCUACGGGAGGCAGCAGUGGGGAAUUUUGCGCAAUGGGGGAAACCCUGACGCAGCAACGCCGCGUGAGUGAUGAAGGCCUUCGGGUUGUAAAGCUCUUUUAGUGGGGAAGAAGCCCUCCCUGGCUAAUAUCCAGGGGGUCUGACGGUACCCACAGAAAAAGUUCCGGCUAACUACGUGCCAGCCGCCGCGGUAACAC
rnacentral:rRNA from 1 species